UUGUGAGUAUCUGAAAGAGUAUAAUUCGUACUGCUAAAUGACUUUUCCUUCUUUCUCCAGUGAUUUUUCAUGUGCCCAUUCAUUACUAGUGGCCCAAGGCUAUUCUUAGCUUCUAGACAGAAGAUGUUAUGGAUCAAGAAAGCUUGACAAUUACUAGACUAUCCAGUUACUCAAUCAUUGCAAAUGUUGACAUGGAUGUAUAAUUGAGCUUCUCCUUGAAAGAGACCUAAAGGAUAUGGAAGCUGUCCUUCUAAAGGAGCUGGAGAGCUACAUUGCAGUCUUUCAAGAUGAAAAAUGUCUUUGAGACUUAUAAUGCAUUUGUCAUUUGGUGAAGGGAAUUCUACUCUCCAGUUUAUUUUCUUUUUGGCAAUCAAUAAAGCUAUUUGUACAAAAGUCCAUUUGAAUUUGUCUAGUCUGGUAUUUUCAUUUCUGUGAAGUAAACAAACAUGGGAUAAAUAAGAAUUUUUAUUUUAGCUAUUCUAUUUGUAUCUUGAGUCACCUGAGACUAAUACUUUCAAAAUUUAGAAAAAGUUCAAAACAUAUGCAUGGGGUCACUUUCAUUUUUAAAAAAAAAUCUUGGACAGCAAAACCUAACAAUCUUUUCUGAACAAAUUAUAAGAUUAGUAGUUGUAAAAAAAUAUUAAUAAUAAGUACUGAUAUUUAGCAGAAUUUAAUACAUUAAAACCAAUUUUCUUUUGGCUGUCAGCAAGUGUCUGCAGACUUUUUGUACUUCAUGUUUUGUGAUUAAUUUGUAAAACUGUAAUAAAUGUGAGU